CGGAAGUAGGCCAGGUUGAGCAUGGUUUGGGGGUGACUCUGCAGCUAAGGCCACCCCUCAGGGUUGGCUGCUGUGGCCUGGGCGCUGUGGCACUCUCAGCAGCUGCUUGAUGGGUCUUGCGUUCCAGCACAUUCCACACCAUCAGAGGCGGAGCACGGAGGACCUAGGAUAGGGGAUCUUUGCGCAGGAGCCCAGUGUAUACAGCAGACAUGUACAAAUGGAGGAUGCUAUGAAGACUCAGGGAGAGAGUGGCUGUCUGCAAGCCAAGAAGAGAGGCCUGGAAGAACAGUCCCUUCCCUCAUGGCCCCCAGAAGGAAACAGCCCUCCUGAUGCCUCGAUCUUGAACUUCCAGCCUCCACAGGUAUGGGAAAAUAUAUUUCUGUGAUUUAAGCCACCCAGUCUGUGGUACUAUGG
rnacentral:lncRNA from 10 species